GACGAACGCUGGCGGCGUGCUUAACACAUGCAAGUCGAACGGAAAGGCCCUGCUUUUGUGGGGUGCUCGAGUGGCGAACGGGUGAGUAACACGUGAGUAACCUGCCCUUGACUUUGGGAUAACUUCAGGAAACUGGGGCUAAUACCGGAUAGGAGCUCCUGCUGCAUGGUGGGGGUUGGAAAGUUUCGGCGGUUGGGGAUGGACUCGCGGCUUAUCAGCUUGUUGGUGGGGUAGUGGCUUACCAAGGCUUUGACGGGUAGCCGGCCUGAGAGGGUGACCGGCCACAUUGGGACUGAGAGACGGCCCAGACUCCUACGGGAGGCAGCAGUGGGGAAUAUUGCACAAUGGGCGGAAGCCUGAGGCAGCAACGCCGCGUGCGGGAUGACGGCCUUCGGGUUGUAAACCGAUUUCGCCUGUGACGAAGCGUGAGUGACGGUAAUGGGUAAAGAAGCACCGGCUAACUACGUG
rnacentral:rRNA from 1 species